CAUCAGAGUGUGUUAGUGUACUCGAGGGCAACAAGGUCUCAAAGCCGGAAGAACAAACAAUUGUACAUGGUUCACUGUCAUGACAACAUACUUCCUGCCAGACAAGUGCAAUCAUCCUCUCACCCCCCUUUCACUGUCUAUCCAUCCUCUCCCCCUCAUUCUUUCACUGUCUAUCCAUCCUCUCCCCCUCAUUCUUUCAGUCUAUCCAUCCUCUCUCCCUCAUUCUCUCUAUCCAUCCUCUCUCCCCCUUGCACUGUCUAUCCAUCCUCUCCCCCUCAUUCUUUCACUGUCUAUCCAUCCUCACUCCCUCAUUCUUUCACUGUCUAUCCAUCCUCACUCCCUCAUUCUCUCUCUAUCCAUCCUCUCUCCCCCUUUCACUGUCUAUCCAUCCUCUCCCCCUCAUUCUUUCACUGUCUAUCCAUCCUCUCCCCCUUAUUCUUUCACUGUCUAUCCAUCCUCUCUCCCUCAUUCUCUCUCUAUCCAUCCUCUCUCCCUCAUUAUCUCUCGAUCCAUCCUCUCUCCCUCAUUCUCUCUAUCCAUCCUCUCUCCCUCAUUCUCUCUCUAUACAUCCUCUCUCCCUCAUUCUCUCUCUAUACAUCCUCUCUCCCUCAUUCUUUCUUUCUCUACCUAGCUAGGUUGUGA
rnacentral:lncRNA from 13 species